CUAAGGUAGCGAAAUUCCUUGUCGGGUAAGUUCCGACCUGCACGAAUGGCGUAAUGAUGGCCAGGCUGUCUCCACCCGAGACUCAGUGAAAUUGAACUCGCUGUGAAGAUGCAGUGUACCCGCGGCAAGACGGAAAGACCCCGUGAACCUUUACUAUAGCUUGACACUGAACAUUGAGCCUUGAUGUGUAGGAUAGGUGGGAGGCUUUGAAGCGUGGACGCCAGUCUGCGUGGAGCCGACCUUGAAAUACCACCCUUUAAUGUUUGAUGUUCUAACGUGGACCCGUUAGCCGGGUUGCGGACAGUGUCUGGUGGGUAGUUUGACUGGGGCGGUCUCCUCCUAAAGAGUAACGGAGGAGCACGAAGGUUGGCUAAUCCUGGUCGGACAUCAGGAGGUUAGUGCAAUGGCAUAAGCCAGCUUGACUGCGAGCGUGACGGCGCGAGCAGGUGCGAAAGCAGGUCAUAGUGAUCCGGUGGUUCUGAAUGGAAGGGCCAUCGCUCAACGGAUAAAAGGUACUCCGGGGAUAACAGGCUGAUACCGCCCAAGAGUUCAUAUCGACGGCGGUGUUUGGCACCUCGAUGUCGGCUCAUCACAUCCUGGGGCUGAAGUAGGUCCCAAGGGUAUGGCUGUUCGCCAUUUAAAGUGGUACGCGAGCUGGGUUUAGAACGUCGUGAGACAGUUCGGUCCCUAUCUGCCGUGGGCGCUGGAGAACUGAGGGGGGCUGCUCCUAGUACGAGAGGACCGGAGUGGACGCAUCACUGGUGUUCGGGUUGUCAUGCCAAUGGCACUGCCCGGUAGCUAAAUGCGGAAGAGAUAAGUGCUGAAAGCAUCUAAGCACGAAACUUGCCCCGA
rnacentral:rRNA from 1 species